rnacentral:rRNA from 1 species
CCUACGGGAGGCAGCAGUGGGGAAUAUUGGGCAAUGGGCGCAAGCCUGACCCAGCAACGCCGCGUGAAGGAAGAAGGCUUUCGGGUUGUAAACUUCUUUUCUCAGGGACGAAGCAAGUGACGGUACCUGAGGAAUAAGCCACGGCUAACUACGUGCCAGCCGCCGCGGUAAUACGUAGGUGGCAAGCGUUAUCCGGAUUUACUGGGUGUAAAGGGCGGGUAGGCGGGACUGCAAGUCAGAUGUGAAAACCAUGGGCUCAACCUAUGGCCUGCAUUUGAAACUGUAGUUCUGGAGUACUGGAGAGGCAGACGGAAUUCCUGGUGUAGCGGUGAAAUGCGUAGAUAUUAGGAGGAACACCAGUGGCGAAGGCGGUCUGCUAGACAGCAACUGACGCUGAGGCGCGAAAGCGUGGGGAGCAAACAGGAUUAGAUACCCCGGUAGUC